CCCCGGCAAACUAUGUGCCAGCAGCCGCGGUAAUACAUAGGGGGCGAGCGUUAUCCGGAAUUAUUGGGCGUAAAGGGUGCGUAGGCGGUUUAAUAAGUCUAUAGUUUAAUUUCAGUGCUUAACACUGUCCUGCUAUAGAAACUAUUAGACUAGAGUGAGAUAGAGGCAAGUGGAAUUCCAUGUGUAGCGGUAAAAUGCGUAAAUAUAUGGAGGAACACCAGAGGCGUAGGCGGCUUGCUGGGUCUUUACUGACGCUGAGGCACGAAAGCGUGGGGAGCAAACAGGAUUAGAUACCCUGGUAGUCCACGCCGUAAACGAUGAGUACUAAGUGUCGGGAUUACUCGGUACUGAAGUUAACACAUUAAGUACUCCGCCUGAGUAGUACGUACGCAAGUAUGAAACUUAAAGGAAUUGACGGGACUCCGCACAAGCGGUGGAUCAUGUUGUUUAAUUCGAAGAUACACGAAAAACCUUACCAGGUCUUGACAUACUCUGCAAAGCUAUAGCAAUAUAGUGGAGGUUAUCAGAGAUACAGGUGGUGCAUGGUU
rnacentral:rRNA from 1 species